CUAAUUUCUCCCCCUUAUAAUGGCCAAAACCACUUCCCCCACCCCAUUUUCAUCAAAUUUCUUCUUCUUCAAGUACCAAAUUUGUCCCCCCAACCCAACUCUUACCCUAAUUUCUCCUACUUCAACUAUCAAAUCCGUCACCCUCACCCCAAUUUCUCCUCCAACUAUUAAAUCCACCACCUCAUCUCCACCUCCAAUUUCUCCUCUUUCAAAUUCCUUUUCUCAUACUCUCUUUUUAUUUAUGGGCUUGAGAUUAGUUUAAAAGAAAUGAAAUUGAAUUUGAAAUGAAAAGCUAUUUUUGUGAAUUUGAAAAAUUAGAAUGAAAUGACAAUUGAAGUCCUUUUUCGAUGAAUUUCAUUGGAGAUAAAAUGAAUUAGAUUGGGUGGAUUGUGUUUUUUGGCGAGGUGGAAGGAGAUGAGUUGUGGUCAACUAGUUGUUGUUGUUUUUUCGACGAAAAUCGACUGAAAUGAAAUUUAUUAUUGUUUUCCGGCAGGACUACGUCGGAAUCAGCUCAAAAGAGUCGAUUUUGAUUUAUUAGUGGACUUUUGAGUAUCUAGUCGUUGAUUUGAUUUUAGAGAGUUUGGGUUGGUUUGAUUUUAGAGAGUUUGGGUUGGUUUGAUCGAAUUUAUCAGGUGGGGUUGAAUUUUUGGUAACUGAUUUAUGAUAUUUUUUUAUGGGGGUCGGACUUGAUCGUCGAUUUCAGGUGAGUUUGGGGUGGAGAAAAUGGUGGUGUUUGAUCGGUAACAAUUGUGUUUUCCGAUAGAAUUUUGUCGCAAUUUUCAUUUUCAGUGAUUCCACUAAAUACCCAAAAUUGUACGAUGGAUUCAAAGAAAAUGAUCCAUUUUAAGAUUUUUUAUUUCAACAGUAUAUAAUAAUUUGUGGCACAUGAUUUUUUUUAUUUUCAAUAUAUGUAUAUUAGUGACACUUUUUUUAAAUAAUUUGUGACGUGGUG
rnacentral:lncRNA from 1 species